rnacentral:rRNA from 1 species
AGAGUUUGAUCCUGGCUCAGAAUGAACGCUGGCGGCGUGCCUAACACAUGCAAGUCGAACGAGAAAGCCCGCUUCGGCGGGCGAGUAAAGUGGCGUACGGGUGAGUAACGCGUAGGUAACCUGCCCCCGUGUCGGGGAUAACAUUCCGAAAGGGAUGCUAAUACCGGAUACGACCUUCUCCCGGGAGGGAGGAGGUGAAAGUCGGCCGAUUCUUCGGAAGCCGACGUACGGGGAUGGGCCUGCGUCCUAUCAGCUAGUUGGCAGGGUAACGGCCUACCAAGGCGACGACGGGUAGCUGGUCUGAGAGGAUGAUCAGCCACACUGGCACUGAAACACGGGCCAGACUCCUACGGGAGGCAGCAGUGAGGAAUUUUGCGCAAUGGGAGCAAUCCUGACGCAGCAACGCCGCGUGGGCGAUGAAGGCCUUCGGGUCGUAAAGCCCUGUCGGGUGGGAAGAAGAGCCCCGGGAAGAACGAGCCCGGGGAGUGACGGUACCACCAGAGGAAGCACCGGCUAACUCCGUGCCAGCAGCCGCGGUAAUACGGAGGGUGCAGGCGUUAUUCGGAAUUACUGGGCGUAAAGCGCGUGUAGGCGGGAUGGCCAGUCUGAUGUGAAAGCCCCGGGCUUAACCCGGGAAGUGCAUUGGAAACUGCCGUUCUUGAGUAUCGGAGAGGAAGGGAGAAUUCCCGGUGUAGAGGUGAAAUUCGUAGAGAUCGGGAGGAACACCAGUGGCGAAGGCGCCCUUCUGGACGAACACUGACGCUGAGACGCGAAAGCGUGGGGAGCAAACAGGAUUAGAUACCCUGGUAGUCC